CAAGUUCUCAACCGCAUCAAUUUCUCAUUGAUGUGGCUUGGAUGUGGGGGAUUGCAGGCUUCUGUCAAAGGAGGUCGGCUCCCCUGAAAAACAUUAGUGGUAUCUGAGCAGAAGAAACUACUACAGGUGUGAUAAUUAUCUAUGCCUUUCAGUAUGCUGCAUAAAAACAGACUGCACUGCUUCUAACUAGUGAAAACCUCUCUACAAAGGAGGGGCCACGUUUGACGA
rnacentral:misc_RNA from 1 species